rnacentral:rRNA from 1 species
UUAUACAACUUCGAUACCAUAGUCCCCGCUACUCUCCUCAUAGUAUACUUAUCAAAAGCUCAAUUUUGUACUGGAUUGGGGCAUUCUAUUAGUGAACCCAUUUGGACAGAUUUAUCAGAUUGGGAUAUUCUUGAUCGAUUUGGUCGGAUAUGUAGACAUCUUUUUCAUUAUCAUAGUGGAUCUUCGAAAAAACGGACUUUGUAUCGACUAAAGUAUAUACUUCGACUUUCAUGCAUUAGAACUUUAGCUCGUAAACAUAAAAGCAUGGUAUGA